rnacentral:rRNA from 1 species
UUCGCCCUUAGAGUUUGAUCCUGGCUCAGAGCGAACGCUGGCGGCAGGCUUAACACAUGCAAGUCGAGCGGGCGUAGCAAUACGUCAGCGGCAGACGGGUGAGUAACGCGUGGGAACGUACCUUUUGGUUCGGAACAACACAGGGAAACUUGUGCUAAUACCGGAUAAGCCCUUACGGGGAAAGAUUUAUCGCCGAAAGAUCGGCCCGCGUCUGAUUAGCUAGUUGGUGAGGUAACGGCUCACCAAGGCGACGAUCAGUAGCUGGUCUGAGAGGAUGAUCAGCCACAUUGGGACUGAGACACGGCCCCAAACUCCUACGGGAGGCAGCAGUGGGGAAUAUUGGACAAUGGGGGCAACCCUGAUCCAGCCAUGCCGCGUGAGUGAUGAAGGCCCUAGGGUUGUAAAGCUCUUUUGUGCGGGAAGAUAAUGACGGUACCGCAAGAAUAAGCCCCGGCUAACUUCGUGCCAGCAGCCGCGGUAAUACGAAGGGGGCUAGCGUUGCUCGGAAUCACUGGGCGUAAAGGGUACGUAGGCGGAUCUUUAAGUCAGAGGUGAAAGCCUGGAGCUCAACUCCAGAACUGCCUUUGAUACUGGGGAUCUUGAGUUCGGGAGAGGUGAGUGGAACUGCGAGUGUAGAGGUGAAAUUCGUAGAUAUUCGCAAGAACACCAGUGGCGAAGGCGGCUCACUGGCCCGAUACUGACGCUGAGGCACGAAAGCGUGGGGAGCAAACAGGAUUAGAUACCCUGGUGGUCCACGCCGUAAACGAUG